rnacentral:rRNA from 1 species
UACGUAGGAGGCAAGCGUUGUCCGGAAUUACUGGGCGUAAAGCGCGUGUAGGUGGUGGGACAAGUCUGCUGUGAAAGCGCCUGGCUUAACCGGGCGAGGUCGGCGGAAACUGUCCGACUCGAGGACGGUAGAGGGGGUGGAAUUCCCGGGUGUAGUGGUGAAAUGCGUAGAGAUCGGGAGGAACACCUGUGGCGAAGGCGGCCCCCUGGGCCGGCCCUGACACUGAGACGCGAAGGCGUGGGGAGCGAACGGG